CCUACGGGUGGCAGCAGUGGGGAAUAUUGGACAAUGGGGGAAACCCUUAUCCAGCGACGUCGCGUGAGGGAAGAAGGUUCUCGGAUUGUUAACCUCUGUCAGUGUGGACGUUAAUGACGGUACCUACGGAGGAAGCUAUGGCUAACUACGUGCCAGCAGCCGCGGUAAUACGCAGGUGGCGAGCGUUGUCCGGAAUUACUGGGUGUAAAGGGAGAGUAGGCGGGAUGUCAAGUCAGAAGUGAAAAUUAUGGGCUCAACUCAUAACUUGCUUUUGAAACUGAGAGUCUUGAGUGAAGUAGAGGCAAGCGGAAUUCCUAGUGUAGCGGUGAAAUGCGUAGAUAUUAGGAGGAACACC
rnacentral:rRNA from 1 species